GUGGCAUCUGGAAACACAGCUGUGUGAAGGCAAAUGGCUGUCCCUUCAGAGUGGUCUGCACCUCAUGCAAGGAAGACAAUGAGGUUACCCUGGACAGCGUUUGACAGAGGGAACAUCUACAUCCUGGGAAGAUGGCGUCGCCCAGACUGGGCUUGUGCUCUCUGCCUCUGGAAUAUGCCGUGAGCUCCUUGACCAGCAGUUUUGGAAAGCAAGCAGCCACUUUGUGUGCAACAGAGCUUCGUACAGAUGGACACUUUGGAACUUGUAAUGCCAAGAAAUACUUUAGCCAUGUUGACAUUUACCAUCUACGGAUGACCACUUAUUCCACACAGAGUUCUGUUUGUCUGUUUGUCUGUUUGUUCUGUUUGUUGAAAUGCUGCUUGGCCAGCAGCCCUGUGAACCUCUUUCAACUCAUUGAUGUUCUGGUUAUCUAUGAACAUGUAUGGAGUAAUAACAGCAUGUUAUGAUUAAAGUGAUGGAUGGCAACAGCUCAAUGGGGACCAUGAUCCCUCCCCUGGGGAGCUCAAGAGCAAGCCCUGUUAGGCUAAGAAGGGCGAAACCUUCCU